CAGUGCCAUGUCUGCACCCAGGAUCUGAACCGGCGAACCCCGGGCCGCCGAGAAGGAGAACGUGCGCACUUAACCACUGCGCCACCGGGUGGGCCCCCAGAUUUUUAAUCUCAUAGCUCUGUAGGUCAGAAGUCUGUUGUGGAUCUCAAUGGGCUGAAAUCAGGGUGUCACCAGGGCUCUGUUCCUUUCUGGAGCCUCUAAGGGAGAAUUGUUUCCCUGCCUUUCCCAGCUCCCAGAGGCCCCCCAUAUUCCUUUCCAUAUGGCCUCAUUCCUCUGUCUUCACAGCCUGCAAUGCUGGGUCUAGUCCUUCUCAUCCUGUCAUCUCUCUGUUUCUUGUUCCAUUGUCACAUCUCUUCAAGACCGCAGCCUGGAAAAGACUCCACUUUAACCCACAUGAUUAGAUUGGGCCCAGGAUAAUCUCCCCAUCUCAGAGUCCAUACCCUGCAAAGUCCCUUUCGCCAUGUAAAGUAACAUAUUCACUGAUUCUGGGGCUUAGCAUGUGGGUGUCUUUGGGGGGAGGGGGUCCUUAUUUGUCUACCCCGUUACAGAGGAGAAGAAACUGAGUCUCAGAGAAGUGAAGUAACCUGCUCCAGGUCAUAUAGUAUGUGACAGAGUUGAGACUGCAGCCCAGGUCCAUCUGUCUCCAAAGCCGGGUGUUUCCUACUAUCCACGAGAUUUCAAGCUAUAAAACAGCACGCUGCUGGAUGGGGUUGGGCUUCGGGUCUGGUGGGGUGCGAGCUGGAAGAGAAACCUGAAGGCAAAUUCUCCCCACAGAGGUGAGGCAGAGAAUCAGGGCACUGAAUCCGAGGGAAAUGCUUCUUUGAAAGAAGAAACGGAUUUGCAUUGGAAAGAAAUAAAUUCAUUCUUCUAAGGGAGAUGUUGGUUUAAGGGUGAAGAAUCAAGUCUGUGACUUAGAUGAAGCACCAUCUUCUUUCCCGGGGCCUCAGGGACCCUGGAGAUCCCAUACCCUAUGUUGUCCUGUGCCCACUUGGCAAGAGAUUUACCAAGCCAGUUCCUUCUAAGUCAUGGGGACUCAAUGCCUACCCCUCCCAAGAGUUUUACACCUAAUAGUAGGAUGCCAUAACCCAAAGGCAUACACAGAACCUCUGGAUUUCUUAGUUUUUUGAAUUGAUAAGAUGACCAGGGCGAUAUUGGUUGGCAUUUGUUAUUGUGGGCUAAAUUUGUUUGCGGUAAUGGAAGACUUUCUAUCCCUAUGACGCCUGAGUCAGGAGAUAUUCUUGGUCCUGGGAGCCCUCCAGGUAACAAGUUGGUUACCACCUAUUCUGUACACCUCAGGAGAAUAAUAUAUGGGCAAUAGAAAAAUGGAAAAGAUUGGUAUAAAAUUCAAAAGAAAACACGAAGAAAGGUGGUUUCGGUUUGAUGGGAGUCUUUGCCAGAGAUGAGGCCAGAGGCUGCCCUAAUAGCUGAUGUUCAACCCCUUUUCCCUUUUUAUAAGAAAAAAGAGGAUCAAAACCAACCUUCCUGAAUUUCAUUCUCUGGUGCUAAUAGGACAGAACAGCAAUGACACACCACAAAAAAUAAGGAUACGAUUUACAAGUGAACCAGAUGGUUCCCAUCUCAUCUCAUUGAGUUGUUAUCUUUUGAAGAGUUCAUUUUCGUGGAUUACAAAGAGAAUGUAAUCACUUUAGAAAUCCUCCGAGAGUUUCAUAAUGAACUCUACUUACAUUGUGUUGACACUAAUAGUAACUAUAACCAUGAUCUUCAAAUCCCCAUGUAGGAGGCAGGGUUAUUGAAAUUAUAGCACGGGCCAGUAAUUCAUUUAAAAACAUACUUUAAAAAAUGAGCUUUAUGCUAACCAAAAGCCCACUGAAACCAGUUUCACUUACAAAUAGGAGCUGCUAUAUUAAUAAGAAAAUCAAUAUAGUUUAACUUAUGAAAAGUAACAUUUUGCUAAGUUUUUUUGCCCAGGUUAGGCUCAUAUCAAAUUAAGAAACUAAGUAAACCAAACAUUUAUAUGAGUGACUCAUACUGUGAAAAAAAUGUGAUCACAGCUUCAUAUCACAAAACUAUUAAGUUCUGCUCAAGUAAUUUCCUCUCAGCAUUUCCUUUCCUCACUUAAGGUUUCCUUCUUAACCAAAAAGCAUCAAAUUAGGAAGCUUAAAUGACUGAAGUAUUAACACUCUCAGGAAAAAAAUGAUUGCCUUUCAGAACGGAGGAAAGAAAUGCUCACCAAUCUACCUUCCCAAGGUAAAUAGUUACAAAGUAACAGGAACAGAGGGUUUUUUUUUGUUGUUCUAUUUUUUCUAAUAGUUUGAUUUUCGAUGAAGUUUCCUUUAAUCCUUUAAAAUCAUUUCCAGCAGUGAGCAAUUCAGCAAGUUCAGAGAACAAGAUGGCCAGACCUUCAGUCCUUGAAGAUUGGAAUUAGAUUAGUGGGAUUGUAUUGAAGUAAUUUUUGCUAUUUCAGGUGUAAUAAAUUAUAACUCAUAUAUGGUUCAAUUAGCAUUCUUGUGAAUACAUCUAACAUUUCUCUCUAUGCAAUUUUUGUUUAAUUUGGUAUGCCUAGUUCAUUUUCUCUAUAUUUCUGUUUGAAUAAAAAUAAAUUUUGAAAUUUUACCUAUUGUUUCAAUUUUUAUAUUUAUUGAUCCACACACAGUCUCCCCUCCCCCCUUAGCAGUAUUUGUUAAGUAGGGUUGAUACAUGUUAAGGUGCCAAAUGUGUAAUGUUCCAUUGCCAGGUAUAAAAAAAUCUUUUCCAUGGAGUUUGGACCUCGGUCUCAAAGUUCUUCUGAACACAUUUCCCUGGGCAGUUGUUACCAGUUAAUUCAAGUAGGCAUUUGAGUCAAAACCUUCAUCAUUAGCGUUUAGGUCAUAAAAUAGAACAUUUAUUAGAUAAUUUCAGCAGAAAGGGAUGUAAUACAGGGAGUUAGAUGCUUACCAAAUUGCUGGAAGAUCAGAGGAGCAGACUCGAGGCAUGACUUUCAGGAAUGGCCUCUAGAACACUGCAGAACUGAGCCUCCAGUUACGCUGCUGCAGUUAGGAAUGGAAGGAAUCAGGAAGCUGCAAACGAAAUUCUACAGUCCCAGAACACACUGCCGUAGCUGCAAGCCAGGGAUCAGAAAGCUGGGCUCUGAAGCCACCACCACCACCUUUGCCUUUCAACACCCAGGACACUCUUGAUUGGACAGGGAACACAGAAUAUGGCUGCUGCUACUGCUGAUGCUCAUAUGAGUGACUUAAUUGUGGAAACCUAAUUUGCAUCCAGAAUCCUGGUUUCAAGGAAGCCUGAGAGGUGUUGUUUUCAGCCCAGGAAGGCAUAUGAAGUCAGAACCUAUACUAAAGUUAUAUCCUUGGUGAAACCUUCUUGGUCUCUCUGUCCUUAUUGGAUCCUCUCUGCAGGGAGAUGCAGAACUUGUGUGCAGAAUAACAGGAAGAUGUAGGGAACUGGGUUUUUAAAAGAAGAUAUGCCAAGACUAUAUAGGGGAUUUGACUCCCAAGUUCCACUUAGAGGACACAGGAAAUGAUAUUUCCAGCUUCUUAUAUUUAAUUUCUCUUUUUGGCAAUUCAUCUUAGGAACUUAAUUUAGUUCUUGAGCAACUUGAUGCUGCCAAAUGACUUAGCUCUUUGCAUCUGAUGAUCCUGCCUUUCCCUCUCACAAGAAAGGAGGGCACCGCCUGUCUUUAUUUCUUACCUGAAUUAAUAGGGACUAGCUCCGUAUAUUUCCUGUGGCAGUUUACCCUGCUAAUAUUCAGUUAUUGCCACUCCAUAUAGAGUGAAAGUAAAAUGGAUAUGAAUAUGUUAUCCAAAUAUUAUAUAUCUAGGCAUAAAAUGCACUCGUAAUUUGAAGUUCACAGCCACAUCCCUACCCUCCUGCGAAAAAAAUUGAUUCAGUGGGAAACCAAAGAGUACAAGCACAACAUUGAAGGUAUUUUGACUUCUAUAAUCCAUCCAUUAUGGCUGUGUGGGUAAGUUACUUAACUUUUCCUAAGUACCCCAAGCUUUAUGUACUAAUAUCUUUCAUCUGUAGGGUACCCCACAGAUUCUCAAGGUUUCCCUAUAAGCAUGUGUGGUGGGAUCAGCAUGAUUAAAUGACAUGGUUCAGUCAUGGAGCAGAGUGGAACUCAAACCCUUGACUUUGAACUCUCAAUAAAAUUGUUUUUUACUACACCAAGAAAGAUCAAAACUAUUCUUCUUAGAGGAAUAUUAGUACUAAUAAUUUGUAACCACGUUGUCAAUGUGUCCAGCAAAUAUGAAAUGCCUGAAAACAAAUACCCAUAGAACAGAAUUUGAUAUGCUAAAUGUUAAGAAUUUAGUUUCACAUUUGCAAUUUUAUAUAACUGGCAGAGGGCUAAUUGUAUGACUUUUGCCUCUUUGAUAUGUGAGUGUUUAUCUUAUAUCUGUUUAGAUACCACAAUUAAAUAGCCACUUUAGAUCAACUAUUAAUUCCUAUGGAAAUAUAUUUUUUUCUGGGAAAAAUGUAUGUGCAUUAAGAACACAGCCAUAAAGUUAUAAUUUUCUAUCAUUGCUCUCAUUGUAGUAAGCUUACCCUGUUGUUUGUGGUCAUACGCAACCUUUGCUUUCAAGGCUACUCCAAGUAACCGUCUCCAAGCCUGCCUUCUCCCUCUGGUGUCAUCACGUAGAGCUUCUUCUCACCUGCCACAUUUAGCGAGACCCAGCUGCAUUUUAGUACGUUCUAGCAUCUAAUCUCACUUACCACAUACAUUGCCUGCAGGGCAAGCACAUCGAUAUGCGGCUUAUCAUUCCUAUAUUCUUUCUAAGUGACUUCCUUCUGGAAGCAGGUAAGGGUGAAGAGAGGCUACCCAGUCUUUCUGACCUUAAACUAUUUAUAUGAGAAUAAAAUACAGCCUUAUUUAGGCGAUCAGCCCCCUGCGAAAAACAGAUACAAUUUUUAAGCCUAGGGAAGUUCAAAAACACAAUGGAGACAAUCUGAAAAUUUUUCUCAAAGCAAGCCUUUUGAAUAUAAAAGGUAAGUCACAGAACUGGAGAAAAAUCUAUCGGGAGUAUUUAUGUAUUAAAAAAAUUGCAUGUCAUUUGCCUACGUUCUUACACUAAUUAUGUCAACUCUGUCGCUACUUCUUUCUUUGUGGGGAAACUCCACAAGAAAGUCACUCAAAGAAAUGGUUUAGAAAUGUUUCUUUGCUUUCACUUUUUUCUUUUCAUUUUGUAGAGGCCAGCUUGCUCACAAGUACUCUCUUUUUAAAAAAAUACGUGAUGCCUAUAAAGAAGGAAGCAGGAUGGCUGGCUUUAGGUCAGAAGUCAUUUGCAUCGAAGAACCCUUUUAUUUCAGGGACUUCUGUACUCAAUUCAAAAGACUUGUUUGAAACAACCUAUGCGGGAAGCGAUAAACGAUGAGGAAACUAAUCUCCAGAAAUUAUUCUCACAGCUAUGAACUGGAGCUGGGAUUAAAAUCCAGGCAGUCAGAGGUCAAUCUGGCUUUCCUAUCAGAUCCACCUGGUCCAACGAUGAACACAAAUAACAGAAAAAGUGAAAAUAGACAUUGACUUUCAGCACAGAGGGAUGAUAUUCAAAAUAUUCACCAGCUGGUCAGCUCAGACACUAAUUCUGACUAAUGAGAAUGGAUGGCAGUGGUGAACAAUUGGCAUAGCUAUACUGGUGUGGACUGUCUGAAUACCAGCUCUAACUUUUAGGGAAAAAAGGAUUAAUUUGCAAAAUAUAUCACCAAACAUCUUCAAAAAGAAAAUUAAUUAAAUUACAAUGGAUCAGUAAAGACCGUAUCAAGUCCAAUAUAUAAGGCAGGUGAGUUCAUGCUCCUGAACAACUUUCAGAUACCCAUCACCAAAAUGGUAUGUUUUAAAGAUGGUAGAACUGUUUGACUGUGUUCUUUCCUCGAACAGUGCAGUUUUUCCCUGCUGGUUCUAUGAACCAGCGGUAACGAGGCUCAAGAUGGAAAGAGUGGUCUUGACAGGGCCCUGCCGUUCUCUAAAUCCAUCUCACUUAUCUUCUCUAGGGAGGAUUAGAAUGGAUUUUUAUGUUAAUUCAUUUCGUUGAUUUGGCAUCUGUUUGGUAUUGUGUAGGUAAUAGGAUAAUGAGUAUAAUGUUACAAUACUGGGUGGCUAAAAAUAUCGUCCACCCAGAAUCAAAUGAUAAAUAAGUUCGUGGACUCCCGUUUGAUGUACUUUGAUAAAUAUGCCCACAUUUGGUGCUCCCACUUUGACUAUCCUGCAACAGCACAUGCAGAUUUUCUUACUAAGGUUUUCUCCUGUUUCUUCUAUAAUUGAGAAGCCAAUUGCUUCUGGCACUUAUAGCCUGAAGUGUAAUAUUAAGUCAUAGGAGGAGAAACAUCUGGGUGCUGGUCCUGGAGCUGCUUCUGAGGGGCCUUGAGCAGCACAGCUGCUGUGUGAAACAGUCCUUCCCCUGGAGAACUGUGGGAGGAGUGAAUGACAUCGAGCACGUGGAGCCAGCGCUUCCUUUCUGGAACAAGAACAAACAAAGUAAAACAUUUGGAAUUCCGAUAUUCUCGUGACCCUAGAAAGUUUUGAAAGUGCCACAGUCCUUAAAAUUACUAUGCUUAUUUGAGAAAAAAAGUUUUAGUUAUUAUUUCCUGGUGGGGAGAAUUCACUGUCCUGAGGGUGUGGCACCGUGUAGCAAUCGUUAAGAUCGUCAUGAUUUGGUUUGCUCCUGUGUGUCUCCUUUCUGUUUUGUCUGCCCAGAUGUGUGUGAGGCCCCGUUUGCCAUGCCUCCCAAACUCUAACCCCAGCAUCAUAAGGAAAUUAUAUUUAGGGCCUUAGAAGAUUGUCUUAGGUUUAUAGCUAAUGAGGUACGUUUUUUGUUUCAUUAAGGAUUUUCCCAUUCGGAUUUUAGAUUCCCUUAUAGUUUUCUUAAUAAAUGAUAUACCUCUGCUUUUACACAUUUUUAUUCCUCUGGCUAGCUUUUUCCUAACUUGUCAUUUAAAGUGAAUACUUGUAGAUGCUUUAAUUUCUGAGAUUUUCACCUUCUGAGCUGCAAAGCACCAACCACCAUGAUAAUCUGCUUCACCUGGAAUCCAACAACAGUAGGAGAUGAUACUUCUUUUGAUAAAACUACUCUGUGCAUUUUAAAGUCCUGAUUUUCCACUUUUUUUUUAAGGUAUGGGUUUUUUUUGGUGAGGAAGAUUGGCCCUGAGCUAACAUCUGUUGCCAGUCUUCCUCUUUUUCUUUUUCCUCCCCAAAGCCCCAAGUAC